AGUGAACGUUGGCGGUAGGCCUAACACAUGCAAGUCGAACGGCAGCACAGUAAGAGCUUGCUCUUACGGGUGGCGAGUGGCGGACGGGUGAGGAAUACAUCGGAAUCUACUUUUUCGUGGGGGAUAACGUAGGGAAACUUACGCUAAUACCGCAUACGACCUACGGGUGAAAGCAGGGGAUCUUCGGACCUUGCGCGAUUGAAUGAGCCGAUGUCGGAUUAGCUAGUUGGCGGGGUAAAGGCCCACCAAGGCGACGAUCCGUAGCUGGUCUGAGAGGAUGAUCAGCCACACUGGAACUGAGACACGGUCCAGACUCCUACGGGAGGCAGCAGUGGGGAAUAUUGGACAAUGGGCGCAAGCCUGAUCCAGCCAUACCGCGUGGGUGAAGAAGGCCUUCGGGUUGUAAAGCCCUUUUGUUGGGAAAGAAAAGCAGCAGGUUAAUACCCCGCUGUUCCGACGGUACCCAAAGAAUAAGCACCGGCUAACUUCGUG
rnacentral:rRNA from 1 species